ACAUUUUGAUAUUGCCUUGCUG
rnacentral:siRNA from 1 species